rnacentral:rRNA from 1 species
GAUGAACGCUGGCGGCGUGCCUAAUACAUGCCAGUCGAGCGAACAGACGAGGAGCUUGCUCCUCUGACGUUAGCGGCGGACGGGUGAGUAACACGUGGAUAACCUACCUAUAAGACUGGGAUAACUUUGGGAAACCGGAGCUAAUACCGGAUAAUAUAUUGAACCGCAUGGUUCAAUAGUGAAGGACGGUUUUGCUGUCACUUAUAGAUGGAUCCGCGCCGCAUUAGCUAGUUGGUAAGGUAACGGCUUACCAAGGCAACGAUGCGUAGCCGACCUGAGAGGGUGAUCGGCCACACUGGAACUGAGACACGGUCCAGACUCCUACGGGAGGCAGCAGUAGGGAAUCUUCCGCAAUGGGCGAAAGCUUGACGGAGCAACGCCGCGUGAGUGAUGAAGGUCUUCGGAUCGUAAAACUCUGUUAUUAGGGAAGAACAAAUGUGUAAGUAACUAUGCACGUCUUGACGGUACCUAAUCAGAAAGCCACGGCUAACUACGUG